rnacentral:tRNA from 1 species
GGUGAGGUGUCCGAGUGGCUGAAGGAGCACGCCAGGAAAGUGUGUAUACGUUUACGCGUAUCGAGGGUUCGAAUCCCUCUCUCACCGCCA